rnacentral:rRNA from 1 species
AUUGAACGCUGGCGGAAUGCUUUACACAUGCAAGUCGAGCGGCAGCACGGGUGCUUGCACCUGGUGGCGAGUGGCGAACGGGUGAGUAAUACAUCGGAACGUACCCAGUCGUGGGGGAUAACGUAGCGAAAGUUACGCUAAUACCGCAUACGUCCUGAGGGAGAAAGCGGGGGACCGUAAGGCCUCGCGCGAUUGGAGCGGCCGAUGGCGGAUUAGCUAGUUGGUGGGGUAAAGGCCUACCAAGGCGACGAUCCGUAGCGGGUCUGAGAGGACGGCCCGCCACACUGGAACUGAGAAACGGUCCAGACUCCUACGGGAGGCAGCAGUGGGGAAUUUUGGACAAUGGGCGAAAGCCUGCUCCAGCCAUUCCGCGUGAGUGAAGAAGGCCUUCGGGUUGUAAAGCUCUUUCGGCAGGGAAGAAACGGCUUGGGAUAAUACCCCGGGCUAAUGACGGUACCUGAAGAAGAAGCACCGGCUAACUACGUGCCAGCCGCCGCGGUAA